CCCUAUGGGGUGCAGCAGGCGCGAAACCUCUACAAUGCACGAAAGUGUGAUAGGGGGACCCUGAGUGCUCAGCUCUGCUGGGCUUUUGCCAAGAGUAAAAAUCUUGGCGAAUAAGUGGUGGGUAAGACUGGUGCCAGCCGCCGCGGUAACACCAGCGCCACGAGUGGCAAUCGUUAUUAUUGGGCCUAAAGCGUCCGUAGCAGGUUCUGUAAAUCUCUUGUGAAAUUGUCAUGCUCAACAUGGCAGCGUGCAAGAGACACUGCAAGACUUGGGACCGGGAGGAGUCAGAGGUAUUUCGUGGGGAGCGGUAAAAUGCUAUAAUCCACGAAGGACCACCUAUGGCGAAGGCAUCUGACCAGAACGGAUCCGACUGUGAGGGACGAAAGCUAGGGGAGCGAACCGGAUUAGAUAUCGGUAUUCUCGUCGAGAAAAUUUGUUUUCUUCUGUUCGACAAUAAAAUUCUGCUAGAGGAGAACAAGAAAAUCGAGAAUUAUAAACCGACUAAUUACCCGAGUAGUCCUGGCUGUAAACGCUGCGAGCUAGGUGUUGCACAAUCUUAGAGGUUGUGCAGUAUCGGAGCGAAAGUGUUAAGCUCGCCGCCUGGGAAGUACAGUCGCAAGGCUGAAACUUAAAAGGAAUUGGCGGGGGGAGCACUACCAAGGGUGCGGCGUGCGGGUUUAUCUAACUU
rnacentral:rRNA from 1 species